GCAAGACAGAGACAGACAAUCAGAGAACCAGGUGGACUGACACACAGACAUCAGCUUAUUAAGUAUAAGGACACCUUGAAGUCAAAUCAUGAAAGAGGCUUUAAUUUCUCUUCUGCAAACAGGUGGAUGUUACAGGUCAGCUUAUGGGUAAGUGUAACAGGUCAGCUAACAGGUGAUUGUUACAGGUCAGCUAACAGCUAACAGGUGAGUGUAACAGGUCAGCUAACAACUAACAGGUCAGCUAACAACUAACAGGUGAGUGUAACAGGUCAGCUAACAACUAACAGGUCAGCUA